GAUUUAUCGGUGAGAGAUGGGUCCGCGUCUGAUUAGCCAGUUGGCGGGGUAACGGCCCACCAAAGCGACGAUCAGUAGCCGGCCUGAGAGGGCGGACGGCCACAUUGGGACUGAGACACGGCCCAGACUCCUACGGGAGGCAGCAGUGGGGGAUAUUGCACAAUGGGCGCAAGCCUGAGGCAGCGACGCCGCGUGAGUGAAGAAGUAUUUCGGUAAGGGAGCUCUAUCAGCAGGGAAGAAAGGCCCGCAAGGGAG
rnacentral:rRNA from 1 species